rnacentral:rRNA from 1 species
UACGAAGGGGGCUAGCGUUGCUCGGAAUCACUGGGCGUAAAGCGCACGUAGGCGGCUUGUUAAGUCAGGGGUGAAAUCCUGGAGCUCAACUCCAGAACUGCCUUUGAUACUGGCGAGCUUGAGUUCGGGAGAGGUGAGUGGAACUGCGAGUGUAGAGGUGAAAAUUCGUAGAUAUUCGCAAGAACACCAGUGGCGAAGGCGGCUCACUGGCCCGAUACUGACGCUGAGGUGCGAAAGCGUGGGGAGCAAACAGG